AUACGGAGGGUCCAAGCGUUAUCCGGAAUCAUUGGGUUUAAAGGGUCCGCAGGCGGUCAAUUAAGUCAGAGGUGAAAGCCCAUCGCUCAACGAUGGAACUGCCUUUGAUACUGGUUGACUUGAGUUAUACGGAAGUAGAUAGAAUAAGUAGUGUAGCGGUGAAAUGCAUAGAUAUUACUUAGAAUACCGAUUGCGAAGGCAGUCUACUACGUAUAUACUGACGCUGAGGCACGAAAGCGUGGGGAGCGAACAGGAUUAGAAACCCUAGUAGUCC
rnacentral:rRNA from 1 species